CCUACGGGAGGCAGCAGUGGGGAAUAUUGCACAAUGGGCGAAAGCCUGAUGCAGCGACGCCGCGUGAGGGAUGACGGCCUUCGGGUUGUAAACCUCCUUCAGUAGGGAAGAAGCGAAAGUGACGGUACCUGCAGAAGAAGCGCCGGCUAACUACGUGCCAGCAGCCGCGGUAAUACGUAGGGCGCAAGCGUUAUCCGGAAUUAUUGGGCGUAAAGAGCUCGUAGGCGGUUUGUCGCGUCUGCCGUGAAAGUCCGGGGCUCAACUCCGGAUCUGCGGUGGGUACGGGCAGACUAGAGUGAUGUAGGGGAGACUGGAAUUCCUGGUGUAGCGGUGAAAUGCGCAGAUAUCAGGAGGAACACCGAUGGCGAAGGCAGGUCUCUGGGCAUUAACUGACGCUGAGGAGCGAAAGCAUGGGGAGCGAACAGGAUUAGAUACCCUGGUAGUCCAUGCCGUAAACGUUGGGCACUAGGUGUGGGGGACAUUCCACGUUUUCCGCGCCGUAGCUAACGCAUUAAGUGCCCCGCCUGGGGAGUACGGCCGCAAGGCUAAAACUCAAAGGAAUUGACGG
rnacentral:rRNA from 1 species